rnacentral:tRNA from 1 species
GGGGCGGUGCUGCAGGCCACCUGGGCGAUCGCGCUCGGCGGCGCGACGGGCCGCGGCGACGUGGUCUUCGGCUCCGUGCAGUCGGGCCGCCCCGC